rnacentral:sRNA from 1 species
GUUGAUUGGGAAACUCAUCAAACAUAUAUGAAAUGCCGAGACAAUCGUACAGUACAAUGGCGGGCCCCAUCCCUCUCCGUAGGGAGCAUCCCGCGGGAUGCCAGGCGGAUUACAAAGGACUGCGCGAUCUCAAAUCCUGUCAUUCGGAGUUUCAUCGCAUCCUUUG